rnacentral:rRNA from 1 species
UAGUUGGAUUUCUGUUAAUAAUUUAUAUAAAAUAUUUUGAUGAAUAUUUAUAUAAUAUUAACAUACUUCAUAUUACUAUAUAUUUUAGUAUAUGAAAUUUUACUUUGAGAAAAUUAGAGUGCUUAAAGCAGGCAUAUGCCUUGAAUACUCCAGCAUGGAAUAAUAUUAAAGAUUUUUAUCUUUCUUAUUGGUUCUAAGAUAAGAAUAAUGAUUAAUAGGGACAGUUGGGGGCAUUUGUAUUUAACAGUCAGAGGUGAAAUUCUUAGAUUUGUUAAAGACAAACUAAUGCGAAAGCAUUUGCCAAGGAUGUUUUCAUUAAUCAAGAACGAAAGUUAGGGGAUCGAAGACGAUCAGAUACCGUCGUAUUCUUAACCAUAAACUAUGCCAACUAAAGAUUGGAGGUUGUUCCUUACUCCUUC